rnacentral:rRNA from 1 species
UACGUAGGUGGCAAGCGUUGUUCGGAAUUAUUGGGCGUAAAGGGCGCGUAGGCGGUUUGUUAAGUCGGUCGUGAAAACCCGCGGCUCAACUGCGGGCUUGCAGCCGAUACGGGCAGGCUAGAGUUCGGUAGGGGAGACUGGAAUUCCUGGUGUAGCGGUGAAAUGCGCAGAUAUCAGGAGGAACACCGGUGGCGAAGGCGGGUCUCUGGGCCGAUACUGACGCUGAGGAGCGAAAGCGUGGGGAGCGAACAGG